CUGGGAGAAGCUGAGAACAGGAUUUGGAGACACGCCUUUUCAUCCUCAAAAAUAUAUAAAAGUGACUCUUCCCAACUCUUUGGGGGAAUCCUGUGGGGCCCCAUGAUGGAUUCCUCAAAUGCAGAUGCUCACCACUCUCAUAUCGGCAGCUGGAUAGAUUGAUCACCAAUCAUCUGGAAAAGAGAAAAAAGAAAGCAGAAAGACAGAGGCAGACACACUUGCCGGGACAGGUGACUGCACACGGGAACACCCUGUCCCAGGUGGAGCUGCAUGGAACCUAACCAGCCUCACUUCCGCCUGGUCUGACGGUCCCUGACACUGAGGACACAGAUUCAAAGGGUUGCCAAGCGGCAGAAAACGUGGGCUCAGAGUACUAUUACUCUGCCCGUGAGGUAGAAAUUCCGUCUUGCUGUUGCAGCUAAUUUUGCUUGCAGCUUCACGUUAACGUCAUCGCCUCCUCAAUCCUUUUACUCCAGUGGCCCCUCAAAAACAGGAAGUGAACGUCUUUUUGGGGAAAAUACUUAAUGGUCUCCCUCCUCUUGCCACCCCAUUAAGGGAAUCUGUGAGUUAGAAAGUAGACAAGCUUUCAGACAUCCAUCAGUCUGAGGAGUGAUUCAUUUCCCCCAAAAACGGAGCAAGGUAUAGAAAAAUAUUAAAUAAGAACUGGAAUGUAGAAGCUGCAGUCAGAUCCUAAGAAGUCGCAUAGUCCUGUUAUAUUUACAGUAUAUUGAAUUCCCGCGAUAAUAAGCACUUCCUAAAACAAGGACAUCGUCUCUCCCCACACAAUUAAAAAAAAGGAGGCAUUAUAAACACAAGCAAAAUGAAGAUGAGGACAAGGUGUAGUUUUAGAUUAUACAUAUCAGUAUUUGAUUCUACAAAACAGAUCAUCAAAAGUGGUUCUUUUUAUACGAACCGAACGAGGUGUGAUUUUGACAGUCAGCGCACGGUUUCUCCUUGACCCUCCUAUUAGCAGCUUAGGCCUCCUUCCCUCCAGGUCCCUCCUGCUCUCGCCAACAUGGAUCCCCAUUCCCCAUCUUUCAAUCCUAACCUCUUUUUCUUCCUCUUCUUCUUGCCUUCCUGCUGGGCAUUCUGAAGCCCCUUUUGCAUCCCAGUGUUCUGUCUGACAAAAGCGAGGGUGACGAUUUCUUUCGGAUCUUCUAUGGUACUGUCCUCCCUCUCUUCUGAGUCCGUCCCUUCCUCGCCUUCCAAAGGCAGGCACUGGAGCAUCUCCCCAGCCAGGGAGGAGACCCUGGGGAAAUACUGGCCCCCCCCUGGAGAGAGGGCAGAGGGAGCGGCAGUUACUUGGAUCCACCUGCAGGGGGACCCCCUCCCUCGCUCAUGUGGGUGGUGGACCAGCCCUCUGAGACCAAGCAACAGGUUGCAGUUUAUAAAACUCCACCCCACGUCUACAGUUGGUGCAAACUCCAGGAGGGAGCCGACUCCACCUUUCGCCAGCGACUAUGACCUUGGGGACUCCGUCAGCCAACCCUGGUCUUGGUUUUUCCCUCCGGGGGUUUUCAGGAGAUGGCCGACAUGCUUGCUAUGUGUGGUGCCAGCUGGUAAACAAUCUUAUUAUUAAAGUGAGUUGGGUGUCUGGAGACAGCCUCAGAACCAAGCCCUAAGCCUUCUCAGCUGAGUGAGUUAGUCCCAGCGGGUGCGGAUGAGGUGCUUCGAGGAGUCCUGUUAACUGUUUCAGCACUGCACGAACCUGCUGGCCAGAGAGCCACGGAAUGCAGGACCGACUCGUAGCUGAUUGGAUGAGAUUCCAGCCCAGGGCCAGAUGCAGACCUCCAGAGAGCCCAGCGACAGAAGAGGCUAUAAUGUCUCCCCGACCACCCGAAUCAAAAUAGAAACAGGACCAAUUCAUAACACACCUCCAAGGAAGUCCAGCGAAGUUCUCAUCCCCCCACUUUCAUGAUGACUUCUCUGAUGUGUGCUUGAAAUUUCAACUACCAGAUUUUUUGGGAAAGAUUUCUAAUGCCCCUGCUUCACUAAUGCUUAGGAAUGUGCUUAGUUUGCCUUUAGGUAAGCCAGAACCGCUCAGUUCCAAUUAACUGAUUCCUAUCCCCUUCACAUCCAAGGCUUCUAUGAGCAUAAAGCCAAUUUUGUGGUGUUCGCCCCUCCUCUCUCACCAUCAAAAACCCUGCCAACCUGCUCAUCAUUUCAAGCCCUCUCCUUUGAUGGCCGAGUCCUCGUGCGACUUACUAACCUUUUCUUCCCUCACAAACUCUUUGGCUUUUUAAAAAAGAUAUUAAUAAUAUCUUUAUUACAGGGGCUGGCCCUGUGGCCUUAGUGGUUAAGUUUUGCAUGCUCUGCUUCAGGGGCCCGGGUUCGGUUCCUGGGUGCAGACCUACACCACUCACUGGUAGCCAUGCUGUGGUGUUGACCCACACACAAAAAAAGAGGAAGAUUGGCACAGAUGUGAGCUCAGGGUGAAUCUUCCUCAGCAGAUAAUAAUAAUAAUAAUAUGUAGUAAAAUUAAUUCUAAUUUAUUAUUAUUAUUAUUAUUGGAAUACUGUAACAUUAAAGGAAGCUUAGGGGCCGGUCCUGUGGCUGAGUGGUGAAGUUUGCGUGCUCUGCUUCGGCAGCCCAGGGUUUUGCAGGUUCAGAUCCUGGAUGCAGACCUACCACCACUCAUCAAGCCAUGCUGAGGCAGCAUCCCACAUGCUACAACUAGAAAGACCCACAACUGAAAAUAUAUACAACUAUGUACCGGAGGGCUUUGGGGAGAAGGAAAAAAUAAAAUCUUUAAAGGAAGCUUAGAAAAAGGGUAGGGUGGGAAAUCCUCAUAGCUUUUCUACCUUAGCAUAGCAACUUUAGCCUCUUUGUGUAGUCUCUUUUAUUCUUCAUUUCCAAGCAUAAUUAUUCUUAUAUAACUGUAACCAUAAUAUAUAAACAAUUUUGUAUCUGCUUUUUGCCCACUUAAUAUCAUAUCUAAACAUCUUUUGGGUUGUGGCAGAGUUUACAUGUUUCUGGUUUUUAAUGGUUGUGUAAUAAUGUCCCACUGAAGGAAUGUGUUUGAAUUUAACCAACCGUCAUCCUAUUGUUGGCAAUGUAAGUUGCUUCCAAUUUUGCUAUUAUAUAAACAGCUCUAAAAUGAACACUUUCAAGUAUAAAAGGGCUUUAAGUAAAAGGCCUUUACUUUAGAAUUAUUUUCUUAAGAUAUAUAUCCAGAACCAGGAUUACUAGGUUAAUGAAUAUGAAAAUCCUAUAGCUUCUGGUUUUACUUAUCUAGUUAUUAAGUUAUUUAUUUAUGUCACCAUAUUAUUGCCCAGAGGGAUUCCAACAAUUUGGACUACCACCAGCAAUAUGCAAUUAUAGCAGGCUCACCAGUCACAUGAUCUCUUGGGAAUCCCUUCCCUCUGUACCCAAAGUUGCUAAUUCCAGACAACUUUUAUACCUUCCGGCCAUGUUUCUAACGUUUCUACGCCCUUCCACGUCUCUCCGCCCCUUUCCCAAACCAAAAUUGGUGGUGGGCAGUGCUCUAACUUGGAGGCUACCUAUGAAUAAUGUAAUCAUAAGCCCUUAUGUGGGUAUAGUUUUUUAAGCUUUCCAAAGAAUUGUCACCUACACCAUCUCACUGACUGCUCACAACCACGCCCCGGAGAGGGAGGGCAGAAUUAUUAAGCCAGCCAGGGAUUGCCGCUUGUUUCUCUCUCUUCCUGAAGAGGGCUUACACCCAAGUCCCUUUAUGGUGACACCUGAGCAGGGGGAGAAAGAGUGUGCUCAGUGCUAUGGAGCAAUGAGACUUGGGCAAGGCGAGUCCGUUUCUCCCAGUGAACAGGCACAUUCUUGGCGAAGUUCAAGAGGACUAAGCUACAUGAAAUCUUGACCUUGGGCUGUUCCCUUCCUUCCAGCUGUUCGGCCCUGGACUAUGAACUCCCUGAUGGAAGAGGCUGUGUCUGGGAAUUCUCAGCCCCUCCCACGGUGUCCGGCACAUAGCAGAGGUUCAUAUGCUUCCUGAAUGAACAGACUGGAAGAACGGAUAAAUGCAUGAACUAAUUUCACCUAAGGCUCAUUUUCCUCAUCUAUGUAAUAGAAGUCUUGCGGUGAGCAUUAAAUAAAUAACAUUUAUUUAAUACUUCCAUAUAGCAGACACUUAAAACACUUAGUUUCAUUCACUUAUAACAGUAGCUACUAUUUACAAGCUACUUAGCAAGUAACAGGCAUCAUACUAAAGCACUUUACACACAUACUAUCUCAUCCUCAUAAUAUCAUAUCACAGAUAUGAUCUUCUCUCCAUUACAGAUGAGGAGACCGAGGCCCGGAAAGGCUAAGGUAGAGGCAGAGUUGGGAUGAGAAGCCGUGUCCGUUUGACCCCACAGCCUGUCUCUCCUCCACAUUCCACCCGCUGCCUUUCCCUCUCUGCUGAUCACUCACUAACGGUGGGCCGUAAAGGGAAGCAACUGAUCUCCGAGCUCCCAGAAGCAGCCUUGGUGACUUCAGUCCCUUAAGAAUCAGUUAGUUCCACAUCAUUUUCCCUAAAGCCACUGCUUCUAAAUUCCCACCUCCAGGAAGGGGCCUGGAUCUCCCCAGAUUUGCCAUAACCUGGGAACAGCUCCAUUGUUUCUACUUUGUAUUUAUUUUCACUUUCUUUCCCUUCUUUUCACCAAUGUCCACGUUGUACCUGGGCUCUUAUUUGGGGUGUAAUUAGAACAUUUUCUAAGCUCUUAUGGAAUUCCUGAAUAUUACAGCCGGAAGGGACAUUAGAGAGUGUCUGGUUCAACCUGUUUGUUUUUUAGAGGUUUUGAAAUCCCCCUGCCCAGCUAGGGAAAGAGACUUGCACAAAGUCAGAGAGCAAGUCAGCAGAGCAGGACCGAAGCCCUGGCUUCCUGCCCCACUGUGUACCUUUCCAUUAUGCCAGGUUAGAGGGCAGGCAAUGCGGCCUAAGUGCUUUGGGGAGGUUAAACAAGAAGACUAAGUUGUGCUACAAAUGUAGCAAACAUAGUAAAUACCUCUUCAGUUUUUCUUAAUGACACAAGACACAUUCCGUUCACCUUUCCAAAUAGGAUAGUCAAGACAGUGAAAAACUUUGAUGUUUCCUUCCAUUUUAGUAUGGGGUUUGACCUUGGGAUCUUCCAAGCCAGAGGCUGUCAAAUCCUGUUUAGACAGCAUGAAAAUGACCUUUAUUGGCCACCAGGGGGAGGGGAUGAGCACUGGGAUGGCUCCAUGCAAACACAUUGCUGGUUACUGGGGACAUUUCACAGGGACCACGUCUCACGUCCACUUCUGAAGGACUGUACAUGUUGACUACUCUUUCUUCCCCUGAAGGUGUUGCAGAAGGGUGGAAAAUGUUUAGUGCUUUCUUUUGUAAAGCUGAAUUAAUACGGGUGUCCUCUAAAUGGGUGGAAAGAACCAUUUGGCAGUUAAGAAAGAUUGGAACAUGUUCCAACUUUUAACCAAAUUUUUUCAUCCUGACCUUCACAGCCUAGGCUUUUCUUCAGUCUGUAGGAACACAUAUAGCACUGAAGAGCUCUCCCAUGAUGUCUGCCUGUGACUUCCUUCUCUUCCUCCAAAUAAUAGGUUUUCCUGCGCCCCUCUCCCCUUUUCAUCCUUUGGUCCUCAUUCCCCUACUCGAAGCAUCCCUCUGAAGGCUUCCAGUGGCUAGCUCUUGGAAAGGACCAAGUGGAUGGGUGUGGGGAGACGUGGAGGGAAGACCUCUGGAUCUUGCUUUCAGCUUUGCCUCUUUGACAUAGCAUAUCAUAAGAAGCCAAGCGAUUAUCUCCUUCCUUCCUCAUUCCCUUUCUUCUCUGUGAUGACAGGAUCACCAGGAAGAUAAAAGCUUCAUAUCUAGAAAAGUGCUUUGAGCUUUGAUGCAGGCAGGAUAAAAUAACAUGCCUUUUAUGGCCUUUUGGCUUUUCAUUCUAGCCACCCUUUGAAUUUCAGCACAGGGCCUGAAGGGGUCUUUAGCAUCACACGGACUAACAAGGGAGGGGUGUGGGUACUCAACUGCUCAAGGGGUUUGCCAAUAAGAAGGGCUGAGAAUGACGUGCCACAUUCACUGGGACAAUAAGAAUCUUGCUGGGGGCCGGCCCUGUGGCCGAGUGGUUAAGUUGGUUAAGUUCCUGUGCUCUGCUCUAUCGGCCCAGGGUUUCACCGGUUUGGGUCCUGGUCGUGGACAUGGCACUGCUCAUCAAGGCACGCUGAGGGGGCAUCCCCACAUAGCACAACCAGAGGCGCUCACAACUAGAAUACACAACUAUGUACUGGGGGGCUUUGGGGAGAAGAAAGAAUAAUAAUAAAAAACGAUUGGCAAUAGUUGUUAGCUCAGGUGCCAAUCUUUAAAAGAAAACUUCUUGCUGACUCAGAUGCCAUCUUUUAUUCUGCUGGAAACUGGGGAAUUCUGCAAGAUUGGAAGAUGCAAUUUUCAGGGCAGGCUUAUGCCCAGCCAUUUUCUCCACAAUAUUCAGUGUGUUACUAGCAAAGACAGAUGGCUCUGGAUCCAAAUCCAAGCUCUACCACUUACUAGAAGGGUGACUGUGGGGGAGUAACUGAGCCUCUUUGUACCUCAGUUUCCUCACAAGUAAAAUGAGCGUAAUAAUGUUCAUCUUAUAGAGUCGUUUUAAGGAUUAAAUGGGUUAAUAUUCCUAUUGCUCUUAAAGCAGUGUUUGGUUCAAAAUAAGGGCUUUAUUGUAAAAUGAAAAUAUAAUGGUAGGAUUGGUGUACAUAUUAAAUGACUUAUUGAAAUGCCUGGCACAUACCGGUGCUUAGUACACGUUAGCUCCCUUCCCUUGUCAUCCCCAGUUGUAAGUUACAUUUUUGCUAGGAUCCAAAUCCCACAGGAGAACUUUCCUCAAGCCUGGAAGAGUUUUCCUUCAGGAGGGUGAGACAUAAAAACUGGAAGUGAAAGAAAAAGACUGGAAAAAGGAUAGGGGUAUUUGCAGAGGCUGUGCUGCCAUGAAAAACAGAAGUGUGUUUCUGGGAGGUUUCUCCAGACAAAGGAAGAAACGUGAUCAAGAGAAAGAUCCAGAGAUGGGGAAGGAGGAGAGGAAGAGAUCUGUGCAUUCCCAGGGCUCUCUGGUAUAAGGACAGCUCCCUGGGGGCACCAGGGUUGGUAAAUGGAGGGAAGGCAGCAAGUGAGGGUGCACUCGGAGGGCGACCCGGGUUUAGGAGGGACGUGAGGACAGGAAGAAUGGAGCUGGGAAAAGAAGGGUCGAUGUGUGGGCAAGGUCCUGGCCUUGGGGUCUUGAGGAUGAGAAAAGGGCGUGAGGGUAUUUUAGCGGAAACUCGAGUAAGGAGCCGGGAAGAGGGCGCGCCUUACCAAGACCUGGGGAGGAGAGCUGAGGUACGGAGCCGAGGGGGAGCAGGGGCCGUGAGGGUGAGUGGCUUGUGCUGUAGAACGUCACCAGGGAAGGCAGAGGGGUAGCCCUGGGGAACUGGCACCGUGGGGGACAUCGGGUUUUCACUGGGAAGGCACUAGGAGGCCGCGAUCUGGGGCUAGCCCCUGGCUUUGGGGCGCUCUUACCCGCGUUUCCCACUCCCCGGUCUCGCCCCGCUGCGCUGUACCGCUCCAACCACACUCGCGGGCCCCUCCUCGAAGGAUUAAGGAGACGUGCUCCCACUGGCCGCCAG
rnacentral:lncRNA from 1 species